AAAUAAAAGACUAAAACAUGUUAUUAAUCAUCACAAAUAAAACUCUAAAACAUUUCCUUAAUCAUCACAAAUGAGAGAGACUAAAACAUUUCCUUAAUCAUCACAUAUAAAAGACUAAAAUAUUUCCUUAAUCAUCACAAAUAAGAGACUAAAACAUUUCCUUAAUCAUCACAAAUAAAAAAGACUAAACCAUUCCCUUAAUCAUCACAAAUAAGAGACUAAAAUAUUUCCUUAAUCAUCACAAAUAAAGGACUAAACCAUUUCCUGAAUCAUCACAAAUAAGAGACUAAACCAUUUUCUUAAUCAUCACAAAUAAAAGAGACUAAACCAUUUCCUUAAUCAUCACAAAUAAAA